CUCAAAUAUUUUGAAUUUGAUGUAUCUUCAAAAGCCCGUAAUAUGGACUUUAAUGUAUUUUACAAUAACACCAGUGUCAGGUCGAUUAUUACGGCCACAAAUAUUCGAAGACUCCUGCAGCAGGGUAUGUCAAGAUCUUCCCGAAGACGACUUCCAGCCAGUAUGCAUGAUGUUCAGCAGAUACAAGCGAGGGUAUCAGUUUUUCGUCAACCUGUGUCACGCAAGACGAUCUAUUUGUAGAGACAAUUUAGUCUUACAAAUGGUUCACCCCACAAGAUGCUUGAAGAGCAAACAGUUUUAUAUGCCCAUAAACUAAAUGGAAAGAAAACUACGUAGGAGCGCUGGUAACAUUUUUAUUUGCAUUGUAAAGUAAAUUGCUUUCUUUAGAAUAUUUUAUGUGGUUAUUGAUA